AUUCCUGUGCGGAAGCAAGUCGCCUAUCUUAUCAUUUUUUGAAACAAGAUGAGCAGUAUUUUGAAACAUAUCAAGGUAUCAUAGAUGCCAUGGUUUAAGGAAGUACUACUGGAAAAAAUCUGGAUGUACAGAGUAUGUUGCAUUCCUGCUUUACCGGUGGCAAUCGUUAUAUGGUGCAAAACUAUCAUGAUGGAAUGGCUAUUUGUUGAGGGUAUGGAGCUCCAGAUCUUUUUAUUAUAUUUACAUGUUCAUAAAUGGGAAGAAAUUUGCGAUAUGCUUUCAUAUGAAAGUGGACGAUUUCAUACUGAUCGACCUGAUUUAGUUACAAGUGUUUUAGUUUGCUUUCUUUAAAAUAUGCUCCUCUUUUAGAUGUGAAGACAUCUUAAGCUCUUUUGUCAAGUCGAUCAUGUAGGGAGGAGUAAACGAAGGAGUUGUCCCAAAAGAUAGAGUGGAGCAGUUUAAGAAAAGCAUCAGUGAGGGAUCGGUGUACAAGAUUCAAAACUACCUCAUAGAAAGGCCCAAAAAUACUUACAGAGCAACAGAUCAUCCACAUAGGCUCUCCUUCAUAAAAACAACAAAUGUUACUCCUAUUGUUACCCUGUCAGUAGGUUUCCCCUUACUUACUCAUAAUGCAUUACCAUUUUCAGAGCUCGAAAAACAUAUUGGAUCGAAGGAGCUGAUGUCAAGUUACUCUUUAGCUAGCCUUCUGCAUAAGCUUUAAGUAUAUAUGCGAUUCUGAUUUCAACUAAUAUUAUAUGUGUCCAAAUUGCUAAAUAUUAUUGGUCCGAUGGUUACCGUUAUCGACUAUUGCCUUCUACUGGUGCUGCCAAGGAACCAAGGUGCCAGAUAACUAUCAUUGAUGGAAAAUAUGUCUCUCAUCCUCUGGCUUUGUGUGCUCACCAUCUUUAUACACAUUAUCAUAUUGUAGGACAAACAAUUACUUCAUUACAAACUUUAAUUUCUGUAGAAAAAAUGCGACUGUCACGCUUUUGGGUGAAUCUGCACAAAAAUUUGAUGCAGAGAGUUUAUGCACUUUAUCAAAGAGAGAACCAGUUAUCAUAAUGUUUGUUCUCAUGAUGCUCGAUCAGUAUGCAGGAACACCAUCUACAAGAUGACACGUAAAUGUUGAUAUUCCCAGGAUGAAAGCAAUGUUGGACAGAGUCAGAAACCAACCAUACGAAUUGAAGUACUCAAUCCCGGACAAACUCCGUGGGAGAAAGUGGAGACAACCAUCAGUUCCCUAGAAGGAAUAGACCCUGCUAACACUCUGAGAACUUGGUUCAAAUUCAGAGUCAAAAUAACUCAAAUGGUAUCUAUUACGGACUGGAUGUAUAUGGAUUGUAAAAUUUGCUGGAAAGGACUAUGAAUGACAUACGACAGUCUACGGAGGUGCCCUAUCAGUCCUGAUGGAGGAGAACCCUGGCCAAGGUGCCCUAUCUGUCCUGAUGGAGGAGAACCCUGGCCAAGAUAUAAGAUAAGAGUACAUGCAAUGGACGACGGAAGCAACGAUGAAGCAAACACAACAUUUGCUGAAUUUUUAUUCUUUGAUGCACUUGUUGAAAAAAUAGCCGGCAUCACCGCAUAUUGUGUAGAAGCCCACAAAAUAGGAAAGACUAACUACCUUCCACCCGAACUGGAACAACUCCCUAGCAAAAGAUUCAUUUUAACA